UGCGUAGGCGGUUUACUAAGUCUUAUGUGAAAUCUCAGAGCUUAACUCUGGGCUGCAUAAGAAACUAUUAGACUAGAGUGCAGGAGAGGGCAACGGAAUUCCAUGUGUAGCGGUAAAAUGCGUAGAUAUAUGGAGGAACACCGGUGGCGAAGGCGGUUGCCUGGCCUGUUACUGACGCUGAAGCACGAAAGCGUGGGGAGCAAAUAGGAUUAGAUACCCUAGUAGUCCACGCUGUAAACGAUGAAUACUAAGUGUUGGGAUAAAACUCAGUGCUGCAGUUAACGCAAUAAGUAUUCCGCCUGGGGAGUACGCACGCAAGUGUGAA
rnacentral:rRNA from 1 species